GACGAACGCUGGCGGCGUGCCUAAUACAUGCAAGUCGAGCGAGCUUGCCUAGAUGAAUUUGGUGCUUGCACCAAAUGAAACUAGAUACAAGCGAGCGGCGGACGGGUGAGUAACACGUGGGUAACCUGCCCAAGAGACUGGGAUAACACCUGGAAACAGAUGCUAAUACCGGAUAACAACACUAGACGCAUGUCUAGAGUUUAAAAGAUGGUUCUGCUAUCACUCUUGGAUGGACCUGCGGUGCAUUAGCUAGUUGGUAAGGUAACGGCUUACCAAGGCAAUGAUGCAUAGCCGAGUUGAGAGACUGAUCGGCCACAUUGGGACUGAGACACGGCCCAAACUCCUACGGGAGGCAGCAGUAGGGAAUCUUCCACAAUGGACGCAAGUCUGAUGGAGCAACGCCGCGUGAGUGAAGAAGGGUCUCGGCUCGUAAAGCUCUGUUGGUAGUGAAGAAAGAUAGAGGUAGGAACUGGCCUUUAUUUGACGGUAAUUACUUAGAAAGUCACGGCUAACUACGUGCCAGCAGCCGCGGUAAUACGUAGGUGGCAAGCGUUGUCCGGAUUUAUUGGGCGUAAAGCGAGUGCAGGCGGUUCAAUAAGUCUGAUGUGAAAGCCUUCGGCUCAACCGGAGAAUUGCAUCAGAAACUGUUGAACUUGAGUGCAGAAGAGGAGAGUGGAACUCCAUGUGUAGCGGUGGAAUGCGUAGAUAUAUGGAAGAACACCAGUGGCGAAGGCGGCUCUCUGGUCUGCAACUGACGCUGAGGCUCGAAAGCAUGGGUAGCGAACAGG
rnacentral:rRNA from 1 species